CCCUGGCUCAGGAUGAACGCUGGCGGCGUGCUUAACACAUGCAAGUCGAACGAUGACCCGGUGCUUGCACCGGUGAUUAGUGGCGAACGGGUGAGUAACACGUGAGUAACCUGCCCUUAACUCUGGGAUAAGCCUGGGAAACUGGGUCUAAUACCGGAUAUGACUCCUCAUCGCAUGGUGGGGGGUGGAAAGCUUUAUUGUGGUUUUGGAUGGACUCGCGGCCUAUCAGCUUGUUGGUGAGGUAAUGGCUCACCAAGGCGACGACGGGUAGCCGGCCUGAGAGGGUGACCGGCCACACUGGGACUGAGACACGGCCCAGACUCCUACGGGAGGCAGCAGUGGGGAAUAUUGCACAAUGGGCGCAAGCCUGAUGCAGCGACGCCGCGUGAGGGAUGACGGCCUUCGGGUUGUAAACCUCUUUCAGUAGGGAAGAAGCGAAAGUGACGGUACCUGCAGAAGAAG
rnacentral:rRNA from 1 species